UCAUUUCAUCAAUAUGUACAUCACUUUGUAAAUAAUUAUGUAUUUGUAAUAUUGUUCUAUUUUUUCUUUUUUGUCCUUCCAAGCAAAGAAUCUAUUUUGUUUUUACUUUUCUCUUUUCCUUUGAGCCAAGAGAGAGUUCUACGGAACAAAAGGAAGAGUAAGUUUAAUGAAGGCUCAUCAAACUUUAUUUUAUAUAAUUACUUGCUUAUUAAACAAUAAAGCACAACUCUUUGUUCAUCCAUUUUUUAAUUUAUUAUCUGUUCAUCACUCUUUUGAUUUUCGUUAUACUUAAUUGAUAGGAUGUGCCAUGUGGCGAUUUAGAAAUUUGAUGUGGCAUGUACCAGCAUUUAAAUUAGGCCAACUGGGCCAAAAUCGCCCCCAAAUCCAUGAACCCUAAAAAGUAUCAGAUGGCGAAGAGCGUUCGAAACUAAAUGAAUGUGGUUGAAUUGGAAAAGCAAAUACAGGAUAUUGUGUUUUAUCAGUUUUGGCAUAACACUAUAAUUUCUUGCUUUGUGGAAUUUAUUUGAUCAUCAAACAUUCUGCUGCAAAUUCCUUGCAGUUGAUAACACUUAAUUUCUUGCUUUCAUGCUCUAACGACGGGAGCCUCCACUGCAAAUCCCUUGCAAUUAAUUCCAAGGAUGGACACUAAUUACAAGAGUUCCAUAUGUGCAUCAACCUUCACGAGAAGGUCAUCGUGGGCCAUGAGAGUUGGAAGGGAGUAGGAAGGCUUCCUUUCGGUGGUGCAAGGGCGAAGCAUCCGAACCAAAAUUUCAAUAGGAAUAGCUUACAAAUUUCAUAUUUAUAAUUUCAAUUUUGCUCUAAUUCUUCUUAUAAAUAGGGAGCUGUAAAUAAGGUUCAUCAUCAUCAACAUCAACGUCAACAUCAUCACCAUCAUCUAGAGAGAGAGAGAGAGAGAGAGAGAAUAGAGUGUACAAUUAUUCUUAUAAACUUUUUUCAUUAUAGUGAAUUACCGCAGCAAAUGACUUAUAGUGAAUUACCGCAGCAAAGGACAAUGACAGAAUCUCAUAUGGAUGCGAACAUGCAUCUAUCUUGCAUGUUCUUUGUGUCUUUAUUUCAUUACUGCAAUUUUAUUGUUAUUGAUAGAAUGUAAUAAAGUUUUCUAAUUCUCAAUG